UACGUAGGGACCGAGCGUUGUCCGGAAUCAUUGGGCGUAAAGAGCGUGUAGGCGGCCAGGUAGGUCUGCUGUGAAAACUCGAGGCUCAACCUCGAGACGUCGGCGGAAACCAUCUGGCUAGAGUCCGGAAGAGGAGAGUGGAAUUCCUGGUGUAGCGGUGAAAUGCGCAGAUAUCAGGAGGAACACCGGUGGCGAAGGCGGGUCUCUGGGCCGAUACUGACGCUGAGGAGCGAAAGCGUGGGGAGCGAACAGG
rnacentral:rRNA from 1 species